CAACUGUUAAAUCUUGAAGCUCAACUUCAAAAUCGCAGUCGAAACUAUUAGACUAGAGUAUAGUAGGGGUAAAGGGAAUUUCCAGUGGAGCGGUGAAAUGCGUAGAGAUUGGAAAGAACACCGAUGGCGAAGGCACUUUACUGGGCUAUUACUGACACUCAGAGACGAAAGCUAGGGUAGCAAAUGGGAUUAGAUACCC
rnacentral:rRNA from 1 species